UGCGUGCCUUCAACCCCUCUAGUUCCCACAGAACGCGGGGCGCGAAAUUUCAGCUCCGACAGAAGGGAAAAGGGAUAUGAGAAGAGAAGACAGAAGGGAGUAGAGUCUCCUUGAUAAAGGCUCUCGGUUUAAACCUAAGGCAAAAUGAGCAAAUGGCACUUAAUCCAUGUCCUUUCCCUGGCUCUCAACCCCUCGGCUUUGCCCAGUUUCUUUAGCCGCCAGAAAUUUGUUAGUGUCGAAAUUACUAAGUAAAAACGCGAAUGAAAGUGAGGCGAUUAACCUGCCCUUAAGCUUUCAAGCCUCGAAUCCAGGGAAAGGUCGGUGAGAUUAAGACGGAUAUAUUCCGUAUCUGAUGCGGCUGCUAGCUGGCUACCUGUUUGCAAAGUAGCGCUGGAGUGGGGAUGGGUUGUGCUGGAAUGAAGCUGAUCAACCAGCUCGAACUCUCCCAGGCUUUAGCCGGCCGGCAGCGGGAGUCGCAGGGAACUGGAAACCCAAAGGGGUCAUUCAUGCCUCAGGGGCUGCUUUAAAGCCCAAUCACCGGAAACCAACCCAGGAACUGAGAAGACCCUCCGCUGCAAGCAGUUCCGAGCCCGCUCCCAAGUACCGGGCUCUGAAGAGAUCUGCAACUGCAAACCAUGGACUCUAGGUUGAGUGCAAUGAAGCAUGCAUAUGCAAAAGACAGAGCGCCUGCCUGUGUGUGUGCACUUGGCGUGCCCCCCGGUGCGCCUGCAGUUCGCUCUGCUCCUGCAGCCGCUGCUGCCGCCGCCGCCGCCGCUGGCUCCAAGCACCGAACAACAGCCGAGAGGGAGAGAGAGCGCGAGCGCGAGCGGGAGGAGAGGAGAGGAGAGGAGCGCGAGCCCGGAGCCCCCAGCACCGGGAGAGCAGGAAGCGCGUCAUCAUUCUGGGACGGCUCGGCCUUUUUUUUUUUUCCCCCUUCUCCAUCCCAAACUGCGCCGGGUUCCCCCACCCCGAAGCUCUGCUGGGGGCUUGGCGCUAUGCUUUCCCCAUGGCCAUGCCAGGAACACCGGCUUCGCCCUUGCGGAGGCCGCUGCCGAGACGGGAAUUCUUGAGGCGAGGCGAGGCGAGGCGAGGCCGGGGAAGGAGCUGUCCCUGCUACGGUCGCGCUAACCCCCCCACCCCCACCCCGCGGGGUGAACUGAGUGACCCCCCCCCCCAGCCUCCCCAGCAAAUCCCCUGCAGCCCGGUGUUACUUAUUCUAUUAAAAUUGUUUAAGGCAGUGGUAGAGGGAGCAGAAGACAGUUUAGAGAGGGAACUUUUCUCUACGGGAAAGAGUCCAGUCAGCUUCUGCACGUGGACGACUAUUGGAAAUCUGGAACGUGUGACCAGUUACAGAUGUUCGGCCAUCCCCCUCAGUGACCUGCCCUGGGAGCCAGCUCUGGGCUUUUUUUUUUUUCCCCCAACCUGCCGGAUAGAAUCCUAGACUUGGAGCCUUAGAAGAACAAGGUUCAAAUCCGCGUGGACAAGUCAGUGGAACUGCUGUCUUCUUCAGUUUUCUCACCUGUAAAAAGAUAGAGCUUUGGAAGACCAGGGUUCAAAUCCACUCUCAAGCACUGCCUGUGUGACCUCUAGGCAAGUCACUGAAAUCUCUGCUUCCAAUUUUUUCAUCUAUAAAUUGGGGAAUAAUAUUUCCCACAGCCAAAGGGUUAUUGUGAGGAUGAGAUGAUAUCUGUAAAGGGAUACCUAAAUGUUAGUUUAAAUUGUUGUUAUUCAAUCCAAUUCAAACAGAAAACUGCUGAUUGGUCCGAAGUUAUUCAAUAAACAUUUAUUAAGGGCCCA
ensembl:lncRNA